UCUCUCUCAAUUAAUUAAUUUUUGAGAUAAGGCCUAUCAGUGGCCUGGAACUCACCAAGUAGGCUAGGCUGGCUGGCCAAUCAAGCUCCAUCCUUCUCUCUGUCUUCAUCUCUCCAGGGUCGGGGUGGCAAGCACACAACACUAUCCCUGGCUUUUAACACGUGGGGUCUAGAGAUUAGCGUGUGCUGUCCUGCUCACAGGGCAAGCCCGUUACUCACUGACCUCUCCCCUCCCACUGCUUAGCUUCCUUCCUUCCCUCUUUCUUUUGAGACCAAAAUGCUCUUGAAUUUGUGAUCCUCUGUCUCAGCUCCCAACUCUGAGAGUUACAGAGACCUCUACUACACCUGAUCUAAAACCCCUACUGCUCAAGGAGCAACUUGAAAACCACGAUGCUCUCCUCAGCUUUUAAAACCAUUUCAAAUCCUUUGUUUUUUUAUGUGUAUCUGUCUGCAUGAAUGUAGGACACUGAGUGCCUGUGGAGGUCAGAAGAAGGUGUUGGGCCCCUGGAGCUGAGUUACAGGUAGUUGUGAGCUCCCUGUGUGGCUUCUGGGAACUGAAUUUGGGAUGAUUUGGAAGGGCAGUAAGUGCUCUUCAUCCGUCUCUCCAGCCUGCCUCAGUUUAUCUGUAUCUUCCUUGUUUUUUGAGACAAGGCCCCUGCUGUCUAAACUGGCACUGAACUCUGGCUCCUCCAGCCUCAGCCCCCUUGGUAGCUGGGCAUCCUUUAAGAUGACGCUCUGUCCUUUUGUGUAGCCACUGGUUGCUAGUUUCCUUACUGGGAAGCUUGUUUGUUUGUUUGUUUGUUUUGUUUUGUUAGGGGGUAAGAUUUGGUAGAGUUUUACGGUAUAGUCCAGGAUGGCCCCAAACUUUCAAACUUGGGAUCUUCUCCCCUCAGCCUCCUGAGUGCUAGGAUUACAGAUGUGUAUCAGCAUAUUCAUCUUCGGGCAACUGCCAAUUAAAUAUUGUAGCUCUUCAGUGCCUGGGACUAUGCUUAGAACUCAUUAGAGAAGCAAUAACCACAAACGGAUAGAUCUAUCAAUAAGUGAGAAAAAAGAAAUGGGGUAAUAAAUAUAACACUUUUAAUUUAAAAUUUCAAGAAGCAGGGCCUGAGGAAUGUAGUUCAACUGAUAGAAUGCUUGCCUAGUAUACAAGAAGCCCUGGAUUUGAUCACCAGCAACACGUACAUGGGUAUGGUUGUGCGUGCCUGCAAUUCCAGCCCUCAAAAGGUGGAGAUGAAAAGAUCAGGAGUUCCAGGUCAUCCUCAGCUACAUGGUAGGUUCAAAGGCAGCCUGAGGUGUGUGAGACCCUGGGGUACAUGUCUCAAAUGAAUAAAUACGUAAAUAAGAAAACAAAAUGGAAGGCCGAGGAGAUGGCUUAGUGGGUAAAGUCGCCGUGUAAGUGUGACACAGUGACACCUCUGUCUGUAAUCCCAGUGUUUUUCCUAGGACCUGGAAGGUGAAGCCAGGAGCAUGCCCAACGCUCACGCCAGCUAGCCUGGUGUCUGCAGUGGAGAAGACAAACAAACAAACAAACAACCCCCCAAGAAGCCUUGUCUUCAACAAGGUGGAAAGGCCAGAAAACAUCUAGAAGAAGGAGGGAAAUGGGAAAGUCCUAAGCAAAAGCCUGCAAGGCCUCUUGAGGUGAGUGACAGGUCAGAACACCCCUAUCCCAACUGGAGCUACUUACUACAAACCCACCCAGCAGCCUUUCUCCAAGGAAAAGCAGAUCGCUGAGCUUCGGAAGCCUCCAGACCUGAAGGACAGCUCUCACAGAAGGAAAAACUGCUGCCUCGGGUGUCUACACUGUUUUUUUGUGUUUUGAGUAUUCACACGGGGUCCUAGCCUGUGCCCGUCACGGAGGACAUAAAUCACUCAGCAAUCCCCCCGGAGAAUCGGAGAGUGUUUUGUUUUGUGGUGUCUGCUGGGCAGGUCCCUGUCUGUUUUUCUGUAGUCUUGAGCUUCUCACUAGCUUCUAGGCUGCUAAGACCACACUUCGCUGGCUGUUGCUUUCUCUGAAUGCACAGGAAAUGUCUGUAGGUCUGGCAAGUACUUCCUCCUCUCUCCACACUCCCAUUCCAAACUGUGCAUUCAAUAUUCCAGAACCUUUAACCUCCUUCUCUCUUAGCACACUCGGGGUCACAUUUUCUAUUAAGUUAAAAAGACUCCAUUUUCAAUCAGCUACCUUAGAAGGACUGUGUUUGUCUUUAAUAUCCCUACAAAUCCCAACUUAAAAACUAUAACGCCACUCUUUUUUUUUUUCCCGUUGUUUCUUUGGUUGUUGUUUGUUUUUUUGAGACAGGGUUUCUCUGUGUAGCCCUGGUUGUCCUGGAAUUCACUAUGUAGACCAGGCUGGCCUCAAACACAGAGAUACUCCACCCUCCCACCCCCCUCCCCUAUUGCUGGGACUAAAAGGUGCACCACCACCAGCAGCUUAAAUGCCACACAUAAGAAACCUAAGAAUCAGCUAGGUGGUGGUGGCACACACCUUUAAUCCCAGCACUUGGGAGGCAGAGGCAGGCAGAUCUCUGUGAGUUUGAGGCCAGCCUGGUCUCCAAAGCGAGUUCCAGGAAAGGCACAAAGCUGCACAGAGAAACCCUGUCUCAAAAAACAAACAAAGAAAGAAACCUAAGAAUCAUUUUCUUCAUCUGAACUAAUUUUUUCCAUAUAGCAAUAUGGAAGUAGGAGAAAAGCGUCAGAAACCAGGGGCUAGGAGUAGAGUUGAAUAUUUAUUUAAAAU